GGUGCGAUCAUACCAACACUAAUGCACCGGAUCCCAUCAGAACUCCGCAGUUUAGCAUGCUUGGGCGAGAGUAGUACUAGGAUGGGUGACCUCCUGGGAAGUCCUCGUAUUGCACCCUUUUUAAUUUUUUUUGCCGCAUGGUGCUUCUACGUUUUGCGUACCUCAUCGCUACUCGUGCCAAUUUUAAUUCAGGCAGGAUGUGUC
rnacentral:rRNA from 1 species